UCUAGCCAUACAACCCUGAUCUUGUCUGAUCUCAGAAUCUAAGCAGGGUCGGGCCUGGUUGGUACUUGGAUGGAAGACAGAUCUUCAAAAGAGACUGCUCAAAGAC
rnacentral:rRNA from 1 species